GCCCACACUCGCAUUUCUUUUCCAGUUUUCGAUAACUGAACGUUUGAACCCAAAUUUAGGAAUGGGCAAAAAAAAAUUUAAUCGCUUUUUGUUUUCCAAUUUUUGUUUAAAUGUUCGAAGCCAAAUGAUGAAUUAGGAUUUAAAAUCUCACGACGGUCGUCUGAGACAAGAUUUCUUGUCGCCAUUGAUGCAGUUAUAAUCCAAUUUCUCUGAUGGUUUCUUCAUAUUUGUGUCGAUAAAGUUUUUCCAUUUAAAUUAUUUCUCUUAAUUACUAUAGUUAUUUUAAAUUUCUUAAUUCUUUUUAUGAUUUUGGUUUAAACGUAGAUGCAGCCGGCGUAAUGACGAUAAACUGAAUUUAUUCCGAUUAAUUCAUGACAGGAAUAUCUAAUCUCCUACUCAUUCUGAAUGCCUACUUUUGAUUCUCUUCUGGUUGCUAUAUUCAUUUUUUUAAAAUUAAUUUACAGCGUUUCGGCAAAAAAGGAGAAAAUAACGAUGGUACGAGAAAUUUUGUGAUAAUUCUAUAUCAUUUUUUGGGUCUGAAGUUUGGCUCUUGGGCACUGAUACAAUGCCUUUGGGAUGAAUCCAGCACCCGAUAUCAGUUCAUUUCUUCAGUUGAAUUCAGGUAUGUCUUUUACAUAUCUACCUGAGCAUCAAGAAGGAAAACAUUAAAAAAAAUUAUAAUAAUUCUCCUUGCGUUUAAAUUGACAAUAUUUUAGUAAAUCUGAAUGAAUUCCAGAUUUUAUUUAUGUGGCAAUUUAGAAAAAUAAAUUUAAGUAGCACUUUAAAUCAUGAUAUAAACCAAAGGAAACCAUUUGGGGUUGAGUAGAUCAGGGUAUACAUGGUUUCAUAUGAUUUUGGUUCCAAGUGAAUUGAACGGGACCAUGAACCAAAUGAUUUUUUUAAUAAUGGAGUCAAAUGGUUCUUUUAAAUAUAUGAAAUCAAACUUAGCCUAACCGCUUGAUUCUGGUUUGGUGCUAAUUUUAUUUUAAAAAUUUUUAGAUUUGUAUCAUAUAAAUUAGUAAUGUAUUAUCUAAAUAAGAAAAUAAUUAUCAAACAUUUAGAAAGUUUAAAUUUCAAUCAUCAAAAUCAAAAAAGUUAUAAUUAACAAGCAAAAUAUAUUUAUAAUUUGAAUAUACAGAUCAGUUUUCGAUUUUAUAAAAAAAAAUUGUUUAAUAAGUAAUAACAAUAAUUUAUUAAAUUAAUUGCAAUAGUUUUGAAGGUACACUUCUACAAUAAAAUAUGAAUCAUCAAAUUUUUUAUGGUCUAAUUUUAUAGGCUACAUUAAUCAUUUAAUAUUUCAUAAAUGUUUUAUUGGAUUUUCUUCUAUUGAAGAACACAAAUAAUUUUUGAAGUAACCGAUAAAUUUCAUUUUUUGAUUUUAAAUGAUACUCCAUUGACCUAAUGAAAUGUAUAUACGACAUUGUGUAAAUUGAAAAUGAGUGAAGGAAAAAUAAUUCAACUGAAUGUAAAAUUAGGAUAUGUUGACAACUAAUGAAUUUUUAUUUUUAAUGACCUAAAAUUGAUUAAUAAAUUUUAUUCAAUUAAUGAGCUAUCUUCUAUAAAAAUAAAUUAGGGUCUUCAUUAAUUAUUAUAUAUAAAAUUAAAUAUUAAGUUAGGUUCUGAGUGUGGUUUUGAUUUUUGAACUAGAAUUGAACUAAAAUUAAAAUCAAAUGGUUCUCUGUCCAAAUAAUCAAAACCACUAAUUUUUUUUGAUAAAAUCAAAAUGAAUUACUUGAUUUGGUCUGGUUUGGUUUGUACAUUUUGUCCAACCUUACAGUAGAUAGAAAAUAUCUCGAAGAAACCAACAAUGUUACAAAUUUAUAAAUUAGAUGGUGACGUUAUCAAAUGUAAAAAGUCGGUGAUCAACGUGCAGUAGCAUUAAAAUUCUUGAAUCAACGGUGUUAUUUUUUACUAGAAAGCCCAUUGAGAUUGUAUAAUUUUCUAAUUUUCUUUCCAAAUAACUAAUUGCCUUAAUGUAAUUAGUUGUGCUGAAUUUUCUUAAUCAAAUAAGUAGUUCUUAAGAAGAGUAAUGUUAUGUAGUUUUACUGGAAUUGCAAUUGCAAUUUCAAUUUAGAUGGUAUUAGAUAUGAAAUUAAAUGAGUUAUUUAAUUAUAUCUUUAUCAAUUAAUAUUAUAUUAGCGUAAUUUGGAUUGUGGUUGUAACCAUAGUGAGGUUAAAUUGCAUUACUUUAUUAAGAAACACCGUGUUAUAAAAAGUUUGGGGAGAUACACACGACAUAAAAGUAAUUGUAAUUUUCAAAUAAAUAAUUUUUAUUAUUGAAAUAAAAAAUUAAAAAGAGUUUCGCUACAAAACUUGGGAUUAAAUUUUGGGUUUAAAUCCAAGGUUGAGAUGGUUGAUCUUGAAUUUCAUGAGACCUGCAACAUAACAAUCAAGGGCAGCCAACACUCUGGCCUGUCAUUGUCUUUGUUUGAAUGGCAAAAUUGAAAUAAAAAUAACUUAAUUAUCAGCACAUAUUUUUUUGAGUGCUCUCUAACAAACUAAAUAAUGCGCACAAACAAUUGUGGCUGUAUGAAACUGAACAAAAAAUAAUUAAAUCUCAUCUAAUCAUUAUUCGAAUUAUUUAGGGUUUGCUGCUUGGUGUAAUUAAUAUAGGUAUUAGAUUAAUCUGAAUGUUUAAUUUUCUUUAAUCAACCCAUACUAAUAUGCUGUAGUAUGAAAUGGGAGGGAAAAUACCCAAAAUUCUGCGUGAAGUAUAUUAUUCAAAAAUAAAGAGAAUUAGUUCUAAUUUUACAAAUUAAGUGAUUAUGAAGAUUAAUUAAAUUGCACCCUUACAUUCCACCCACCCACUUCACCCCAUUCUAUCGCUUAAAUUGAAAUUUUUUCAAGGAUUAUGUUAUUUGUACUUAAUAAGGUACAUAAGAGAUUACAUAAAAUGAUGUGAAGAGAAAAAAUUAAAUGAAAAUUUUGAUUAUGUUUUAAACUAGAGUGACACAUGUCAUUACGUUAUUCAUGGAAACAGGGAGGAUAUGGGAUAAGUCGGUUAUUUGUAUUCUUGUCUUGUUGGUUAUUUUUAUUUUCUUGUCUUGUCCCCAUAUUCGGUUAAAAAGGGAUGGGGUGAGAUCGAGGUGGGUAGGUCCCUCGCACCAUUUGUUGCCUCAUUUAUUUUUUGUUUGUUUUUUUAUAUUUUGAGUUAGUGUAUAUAUAUAUAUAUAUAUUUUUUUUUUUUUUUUCCCAAUUUGUUAAGAACAACUUACGUUUCUUUAAAAAUGAUUAUAAGGGCUCAUUUGAUUCUCAAUUUUAUGAAAUUGCAUUUUUUUUAUCAUACAUUUUUCAUUAAAAUAAGAUUACAGGUAAAAAAAAAAAAAUCCUUAUUUUUCGUUCACACAUUCUUUAUCAAUCUACUAUUCUAAAAUUCAUUUUUAAAAAAAAAAAAAAAAAAAAAGGGUGUCAACACACUCUGUAAAUCUUUUAUUUUUGUUCGAUGAAAAAUUAAAUUUGAAGUGAACUUUAAAAGGAACGGGUAGCAGAGGUUAUGUUUCCCGUACUUGCUUUGGGACAAUGGCUUUCACCUCGUCCUUGCCCUGUUUACUCAGUUAGGCGGGUAAUCUUUGCUCCAUCUGAGGUAGGGCCAUAGGUAUUGGGUUUAAUGAGUGUUUUUUAUUUUUUAUUUUGCCAUCCCUACUAUAUUAGGUAAAAGUUGAUGUACAUGUAACCAUGUUCUUUUUCCAAAUCAAUCACUCUACUCUUUCCAAAUCAAUUCAUUGAACAAAAAACUUUUGUCUCUAUAUAUACAUACACAAACAAAUAUAUACAUAUAAAUGUGUCUCUCACUCACUUUUUAUUUCUAUAUAUCACUCUCACUUUCUCUUUCUUCUUCAAAUAAACCCUCUUUCUUUCUCUCUAAUUUAAACAAAAUGAGUAUUCAAAAAAUAGAUCCUCGAUUACAACUGAGUUUACCACUAGGUUUUAGAUUUCACCUGACUGAUAAAGACCUCAUGAUGCAAUACUUCUACUUGAAAAUUGUCGGCCACCAUUUUUUUUAAACAAAUCAUCGAAGAGAAAUUAGAUUUGUGGGAUCUUCUCGGUACGUAAUUUAUCUUGCAAUAACGAAAUUAUUUGUUUUAAUGGAUUUUCAGCCCUUGUUUGAUUUCCAUUCUUUGGAGAAAAUUUCAAAGAAUUCUUCAACAGUGUUUUGACAUAAUUUUAACCACACAUUUUUCAAUAAAAUAAUAUUACACGUAAAUUUAAAAUCUUUCAUUAUUUUUUAAUUAUAUAUUUCACAUCAAUACACUAUUUAAAAAUUCAUUUUUUUCCAUCAAAAUGGAGCUCAAAGAAGGUCUCGGUGUUUCAUUUCUAAUUUUUGGCUGGGCCUACAAUUUUUGACUAUUUUAUUUAGAUUUGAAUUGGAGUGGAGAGUGUUACACUUCUACUCAAAAAUUGUCGGCCACCAUUUUUUUAAACAAAUAAUCGAAGAGAAAUUUGAUUUGUGGGAUCUUCCCAAUACGCAUUUUAUCUCGCAAUAAUGAAAUUAUCCGUUUCAAUGGAUUUUCAGUGUUUGAUAUCUGAUUUUUGGUUGAGCCUACAAUUUUUGACUAUUUUAUUUAGAUUUGAAUUGGAGGUGGAGAGUGUGAUGGAUUUAAGGUGGAGGUGGAAGUGAUGAUGGUAGUGAAUUUGAGGUAAAGAUAGUAUUUAUAGGUGAUCAGACCCUUGGUUGAGAGCGAGUUUUGAUCAUAGGAUGGACCAUUUGAUCGUACAGUUUGGAUAGUAGUUGAAGGUGUUAUGGUGGUGUGUGAAAAUCAUUUGAUCAUUAAAAAUGUCAUAGAGAUUAAUGUUUGCUUGUUGAGCCGUGCGAUUUUAUAGGAAUUAUUGUAUCAUCGGAAGUCAUGUGGCACUUGGAAGAAUAACGUACUGAUACUCUAGCCAUAAGGUUUUUUAGCUUGUAAGUUGGUUAUAUUUUGGUUUCGUAUGACUUUAAAGCUGCCAUAUGGCUCGUAAGCCAUGUGAUGUAUCUUCAAAAAAUUAUCGCACGACCCGUCGAGCUGUGCAAUUUUUUCUUAUUUAUUUAUUUAUGUAUAUGUAUUUUUAAAUUUUGUGUCACUAUAUAUAUUUAUAUAUGUAUAUAAUUAUUUUAUUAUUAAUUUAUCUUCAAGCCGCGUGGCUUUAAUGUGUUAUCAUGCCCCAUACGAAAUACGAAAAUAAAAAAAGAAUAAAUUUUUUUGCUAGAUUCCUUAUUUCCGUGGCAUUGUAGUUUUGACAUUUAAAUUCGAAAUUAAAACGAGAAAAAUUAGAAUUUUUGCUUAAUCAUUUUAUGUUACCACACAUGGUAAGCUCAACAAAGGUGGCAUGCAUGCAUGCAUGCAACUUUAACUACCACUCAGCAAUUGACAAGUGGUAACCCCAUUCUUUUUUUUUCCUCUCAUUAAUUCGAUUGGUAAUGUCUAUCCUAAUAAAAAAAUCAUUGAUUCGUCUAGAUCACGUGAUAUGCAUCGCUUGGUUUACCAGUCCAAUCGAUAAGUCUAUUCAUUGAAAAGGAAAGAUUGUUGAUCCGUUGGGGAAGUGCGGCAUGCAUUGUUUGGUGUACUAGUUCGAUCAAUAAAUAUAUCCAUUUGAAAGGAAAUAUUAUUGAUCCAUCUUGACCAUGCGAUAUGCAUGCCCAGUUCGUUAGUCCGACUGAUAAAUAUAUUCAUUUGAAAGGAAAGAUUGUUGAUCCCUAUUGGCCACACGGCAUGCAUUGCCUGGUUCAUUAGUCCGACCGAUAAAUGUAUCCAUUCGAAAGGAAAGACUGUUGAUCCAUUUUGACCACGCGACAUACAUUGCUUGGUGCACUAGUUGGACCAAUGUGCAUUUUCAACUGCAUGGUUGAGUAUACCCAUUUGGUCAGAUGAUUUUGAACAAAUUUAUGAAUUCAUUUUUCAACUCGUUUUGCGUGUCAAAUUUUACAAUUUAAAGCUUCACGUCCUUCAUUUUUCAAGUGACUUGGGUAGACUUCAAGAAGCUUCAGAGAUUAAUUUUUCUCCUCUGUUCUUCAAGUUCUUGCCUUGUUUUCGAAUGUUUUUGAGUAUUCUUCAAACACUUUUUUCAAGUUUUUCGAUGGUUGCAUUGAUUUUGAUUCGGUGCUUUGAGAAUUUGAUCCACCACAGAGUAAAAUUGUUAGUGAAUAGAUUUUUUUUUUUUUUUUAUGAACAAUGGAUUGGAACGAGUUUUAUGAAGUUUCGUAACGAAUUCCGAGCGAGCCUUGGCCGACCAGAGGUUCAAGUAGGUCUAACAAUCCAGCAAAAACUCUUGGCUAGGUAAUUAUAUGAGUUCGAAUCGUCCGGAUGGACAACACUAGUGGGGUUUGUUGGCAAUUGCUUUGUUCAUCUUAAAAGAUUGAUCAACAGAGCGUAGGUAUUAAUUGCGAUUUGAUCGAUCUAAAUUUGACGGUGGCCAUCCUAGACACAGUCAAUGUGAACGGAGUCGUCCUAGCGGUAGUGAUAUCAUGUAUUGAGCAAGCUGACUAAGAAUUGCUUGACUAGAAUUCAGGAUACCUAUGGUUUUUCAGCAUCGGUGGAACUUCGUUUGUCACGGUCGCAUGAAAGAUUUUCAUGGGAUAUCUUUCUAUGAGUUUGUCAUUUAAAGAUGGCUUUCGAUUUUCGAUUCCUCACGUGGUUGAGAUGGUAUUGGAGUAUUUUGAGAUUGCACCUAGUGAACUUAUUCCUAACUCUUAGUGAUUGCUUUUAGCUCUCCAAAUCUUGAUUGCGUAGUACAAUAUUUCAUUUAGCAUGUUGGAAUUGUUGCAUAGUUACUUUAUAAGGGAACAUAAUGGUGAGAAAUGUCAAUUUUUCUUAAAUGCAAGGAAAAAAUCGAUCGAUUGAGAGUUGUUCUUUUUUCUGGGGAUAAAGACUAGAAAGUAUCUUAUUUUCUCACAUCAAGCAAUUUGGUUCGAUCAAAGAAUCACAGUUUCUCUUCAACGUGAUUACAUGAUGAGUUUUGCAGAUCGCUUACUUUUAGUGCACUUUACUGAUUCGAGAUUCUUAUUUCAUUUUCUUGUAGGCCUUCACAUCAACAUGCGGCCUGUCGAAAGUUUGUUAAAAAGUGUAUUUUUGAGAUCUUAGCGAUACCUAAGGAUCAAAGAGAUUGUCAGUUCCUUCUGUCUUCAGAGGUCCUUUCUUCCAGUAGCUUAUGGGAGCAUACUUCAGCAGAAUCAAGAGGUAUUCCUUUUGAUUUUUCAAGACAUAAGAUUCUUAUUAUUAUGGGAAAAAGAGGUAUGGGAAUUCUUGGUAGUAACCUUUCUUUGAGCGGUCUGCUUAACUCGACUGAUCGUAAGAUUGCAGAUCAAAUCAUGUCAAGAGUGAUAGGACCUUCGCUUGACGCUUUGGAGAGGAGAAAGCGGUAGAGAAAUUUAACAAAAUCUCUUCUUAUACGACACUAGCUGACAUUCCAAUACCAUCUGAUGAUUUUUUAGAGCCAGAUCGAGCUGCCUAAUUUUCCCUCUUGUUAAUCCGAAAACGCGAUCAUUUGGGGCCAUUGUUGGCAAUGAUGAUUCGAUCGUGCUUACCAUUCCUUCCGAUUCAUCUGCAUUCUCUAAUUAGGGGAUGGUGGCACUUCACGAAGGUCUUUUAUUUUUUGAAGAUUAGACACGCUAUGAGCAAAUUACAUCGGAGACCCUAACAUGUCUUUGCUCUUAGGAGAUUCACCAAGUGGGAAAAACGUAUUACUCAUCAAAGAAUUGAAACGUUCCUCAUCUGUAGGGAUGUGGAAAACCUUAACCUAAGGGAGAAGAUCUGAUACAAAUGUCAAAAAUUAUUUGGAAUCCCAUAUAAGGGUAGCUCUACCAUCACCAUCAAACCAAUCCAAACGAAGGAAAUGUAAGUACGAUCUAAUCAUCAUCAAUCAACAAUGGCCCCGAAUGACCGCACUUUCAAAUCAACGAGAAGGGAGCAUCAUUCAGCUCGGUCUGGCUCGAAAAAUAUCGGACGGGAUUAGAGUGUCAGCUAGCAUCGUAUAAGGAUAAAUUUUCUUAGACUUUUCUUUUGCCUUUCUCAUAUCCAAAGCGUCAAGCGAAGAUCUCAUCACUCUUUACAUAAUUCAAUCUGCAAUCUCACGAUAAGUCGAGUAAAGCGGAUCGCUCAAAGGAAGGUUACUACCAAGAAUUUUCAUACCUCUCUUUGCCAUUAUAAUAGGGAUCUUAUGUCUUGAAAAAUUAGAAGGAAUAUUUCUUGAUUAUGCUGAAGUAUGUUCCUAUGAGCUACUGGAAGAAAGGACCUCUGAAUACAAAAGGAACUGGCAAAUCUCUUAGAUCCUUGGGUAUCGCAAAGAUCUUAGAAAUGUGCUCUUUUACAAACAAGCCUUUGAAAGUUGGGUGUUGAUGUGAAGACCUAUAAGAAAAUGAAAUAAGAAUCUCGAAUCAGUAAAGUACAUUAAAAGUAAGCGAUCUACAAAACUCAUCGUGUGACCACGUUGAAGGGAAACUAUAAUUCUCCGACCGAACCAAAUUGCCUGACGAGAGAAAGUAAGAUCCUUUCCAGUCUUUAUCUCUAGAAGCAAGAUCAACUACCAAUCUAUCGAUAUUUUUCUUUGUAUUUAAGGAAAAUCGACCUUUCGCACCAUCGUGUUCCCUUAUGAAGUAACCAUGUAGUAGUUCUGUCAUGCUAAAUGAGAUAUCGUGUUGUUCAGUCAAGACUUGGAGAGCUAAGAGCAAUCGCUUAGAGUUAGGCAUGCUCUAACAUCAUCCCAACCACGUGAGGAAUCAAAAGCCAUCUUUAUAUGGUAACUCAUAGAAAAACGUCCAACUUAGGACAUUCUAACUCUUUCGUGCGGUCGUGGCAAACGAAGUUUCAUCAAUGCUGGAACACCAUUGGCAUCCUGAAUUCUAAUCAAGUCAUUUUCCAUCGGCUUGCUUGGUAUAUUCUUCGUAAAUAUGAUAUCAAUAUCGCUCGGACGGCUCCGUUCACAUAGAUAGUGUCCAGGAUGGCCACCGUCAAGGGUUGGAUCGGGAUUGCUAUUAAUACCGGCACCCUAUGGAUCAAUCUCUUAAGAUGAACGAACUCUCGGAUUGCCAACAAACCCUGCUAGUGUUGGCCUAUCAGGACAAUUCGAACUCAUAUAAUUGUCUAGCUAGGAGUUUUCUUCCAAAUUGUUAGACCUACUCGAACCUGCGAUCGGCAAAAUUUUGGUUGGAAUUUCAUAUGGAACUUCACAAAAGUCACUCUAGUCCAUUGUUCUUUAAAAAACAACUAUCCACUAGCAAUUUUACUCUUUGACGCAUCAAACUCUAGAAACACUGAAUCGAAAUCAAUGCAAUCGUAGAAGAAUUUAAAAUAGUGUUUGAAGAACACUUAAGAACUUUCUAAAACAAAAAAAGAACUUGAAGAACAGAGAAGAGAAACUCGCCAAAAUCUUUAAAGCUUCUUGAAGUCUAUCUAAGUCACUUGAAAAAUGAAGGAUAUGAUAUUUUAAAAUGUAGAAAUUAAAGUUGCAUGCAUGCCAUUUGUUGAGCUUACCACAAGGCAAGUGUCUUGUGUGGGGUAACACAUUAAAGCUGCACGAUUUUCGAGCUGUGCAGACAACAAUUAAUAAUAAAAUAAUUAUAUACGUAUAUAAAUAAGAAAAGGCCUUAUACCAAUUACGGUGGCAAGAAGAAAGUCUUUGCAGUAAGAAAAAGUCUACGUGCCAAUUAAAUUUUGUUUGAAAUUUUUUUUGGCAAAUAGUCUUAUUUUAUUUGUUUAUAGUAAAGUUCUUUAGUAGAAAGUGAUGGAGAAUUCUUUGUGCAAUUUGAAAAAGUCUUUGAGUAAGAAAAAGUCUAUCUAUUAAUUAAGGGAGAAUGACAAAUCUCUUGAAAAAAUCUUUAAGUAAUUUGAAAAGUUUGUCUACUAAUUAAGAGAAAAUGAUAAAAUCUUCUUACUAAUUACAAAGUCUUCAAAUUACGUAGUCAAAAUAGAAAGUUUUCUAAGCAAUUCUAAAAAAUCUACUAAGAUAGUAAAAUCUUAAAAGAAAAUUUUUUCUAUUAGAAAGAGAAUCUUACUAUUUUUAUUUUUAUUUUCUCUUAUAAUUUUUAUGUCUUUUUGCCUUUUUUUAACAGUCUUCAGGAUCUUCUUAUAACUAUUGAAGUUCCUUGAUACUUCAUCCUUGCAAAGUGCUUUACAUUGUUAAUUUCAUAGGUUAUUUCGUUGGUUUAUUUUUUACACAGACCCAAUUAUAUUUACUCACAAUUUCAUUAAAUUUUAAAUUUAAAUAAAUAAUGUCAUGAUUUUUUUCCAACUUGCUUUGCUUGUUUGCAGGAUUCCGAGUACAAUGUUGAUAUAGCAACUAGAUGGUUUGAAGGUCUUGUCAAUAAGGACAUAGUCCUUGCCAAUGAAAUUUAUUCACUUUAAGGGAUCGUCAGGUCAGUUUCUACCCUCUGAUUUGAAGGGUUGAGUAGAAGCCACCAGAAGUUGCACACAACUCCCGGUUAACUAAGGAAAGAUAUUAAAUUCUUGGAUCUGUUGCUUUUAAGAUUUAUCUUGUGAUGUUAAUUUUGAUAUCACUGUACUCUGCAUGCUGAUCGAAACAAGUUGAACCACCUCAUUUGAAGCUUAAGCUGUUAGAUAAAGACAAGUUUAUUCAUUUAAAUUUUGUCUUCAACAAGAUCAAUCGAGGUGUUAAAUAUUUUUUAAUAUAUCUGACUUGCCUAUCAAACUUGACCAAUUGAGAGCUUCUGAAUUUGUGUUUUGCAAGGGCUUUUGUAUCACCAUAUCAUGUAAAACACAUGAUGUCAUCACUUGGCUUGGCUGGACUCCGCUGAAUCCUACUGCAGGAUAGUCAAUAGAUGAACUUUAUAUUCUGAAUUAUGCACUUAUAGUUACAGAUCAAAAUUAGCCGGGUAGUUAGGAUCUCUGAUACUGCAAAGGCUAUUUGCAUUACUGGAAUUCAGUGAGCAGUAUCUUCACCAAAUUGCUUCUUGCAACCUAAAUAUCUGCGACUGAUAAAUGGACUACCAACCAAAAAUAUCUGGAUUCCUUCCAAGGAUUUAGUUUUAUAGAAAAGUGAUGAUUAUGGAGACACGGUUUAUGCACUCAAAUAGGGCUAGGGGCUAUGGUUCAUUGGUUCCUGUCUUCCAAAUAGGAAGGGAAGUGAUGUGACGCACAAAAAUAAUCUUUUUUUACUCCAAAAAUUGUACCUCCAUGACCUAGUAAAACUCAAAAAAACCUUGGCAUGCAAGAAAAGGUGGGCAUUGGCUGGGUUGUCUCGUUUCUGUCUUCUUUCCGUCCUGAAUCAACUAGGGUAAUUUUAGCUCAAUGUUGAAGGUGAUGGUUUUAGUAAGAUUCUUCAUGGCCCUUUGAUUGUAUAAGCAAACGUUUGCUCAAUUGCCUAGCUCUGGCUGCAAGUGGAUAUGCAAAUGUAUUUCAUUCGACUCCUAAUAAGCUUAUUUGCUUUCUAUCUUGGUGAACUUGAUACAGUUUACAUGUUGAUAACAAAAUAUAUGUUUGCAACGGUGUCGAAUGGAUCUCAUUUCUUUUCUCGACGUAGAUUCGUGGUAAUGGUAAACAGCACAAUGUAGUCAAUAUGAUAGCGUUUCAUAGCUUUGUGAAUUUUAUAAUGCUUUUGAAGUGUAUCUUUUAGGGUUGUUCUUGCUGAUGGUAAUUAUCCUUUUUUCUUUUACGACUCAAGGAACUGUGGAAACUGUUAUGGGAAGUACAUUAUGUUGGAAUAAUUUUAUAUGUGGGCUUCACAUUCGAUUGCAAAUUUUACAGGUUAGAUGUAUGGUUCAUGAUAAUAUUUGUGUUUGGGCCAAAUUUAU
rnacentral:lncRNA from 1 species